GCAAGCAAAGAAAUUCAACUGGGGUCUUGAUGACUGAAGGAAUGUUAAAAAAUCUCUCAUCAGCAGACCAUAAAGAAUAAAGCAAAAGCUAUCAGUACUGUGCAGAUGUUAUCAGGAUGUGACUUCAGCACAACCCUGAUUCCCGACAGAGAGACAAAACUGCAGAUGUUUAAUGUAUUACAGGAACUAACCGCAAAUUCUAUUUUGCUUCUCCUACUUUGUGUUUAAUUUUUUUAAGACACAUGAAUUGCACUUUGCAAGAACUUCCUUCAAUCUUACUUUGAAAGUCUAAAUGCUUACUACUGAGACACAGAGAGUUCUGGGUUCAAAGCUUGAAAAACUGACUUGCUACUAAUAUAAUAGAUAAUGAUGACGAUGACAACAGAGACAAUAGCAACAACUACAGAACCAGUGUUCCUCAGUUCUGGAAAACUCGAUGGGAUGUUCAAGCCCUCACCAGAAUUCUUAUGUCAGGAAUAUUUUCAGUAUUUCAGCUUUGCUUAGUUAUUUCCUCAUCUCAGAUUAAGUCAGAAGAGCAGCUGAAAGAGUGGCCAAUGGUUUGCCCCAUCCCUUUUCCAACGACUGCACCAGCUGUCAUGAUGAUGACCUGAGUCCAAAGGUCAGCCGGCACCUGUGGGAGAUGUGCUUGUCCUGGUAAACAUGUGGAUGCUGGCAGAGGUCCUGCUCAUGAACAGCUUACAGUUUUGGUGAGAAGUGGAAAUGUGUGGGAACUUCACUGCUGGAAAACUUGUUUCCUCUCUGUGCACAAUCAAGUAACUGAUAGACAGGCUUUUGUUUUCUGUCUCAAUAGCGAUGCCUAUUCAUUUGGGGAACUAUCUUCUCAGAGGGCAAAAUAACCAUAAAGUUCAUAUAUGCUGGCUCUCGUGUGCUCUAAAAUCUGGAGUAAAGUCCUGCGUUGGAAUCAAGAACCUGAACUGAGCAUGCGAGAUAAUUAUUGUUCCAGAAUCAAUUUAAGGACAGGAAAAUUAGCUUUACAUUUUAGAACUGGAAUAAGUACUCUUAUGUAAUCAGGAAGUCCUUGUAAACCCUAUUUUUGUAGAUUCUCCAUUUGUACAUAGCUGAAUAUGAAGAAAAUAUAUUAGCACGGUUCAGAAGAUAUUAUAAUUUAAGAAAUUCUACAAAAUCUUAUUAUCUGAAGUAUCAUGUUGCCAUUUUCUAAGCACCUAUUAUUGCUAAUGCUGAGUACUUUCUGUCAUGAUUUAAUAAUUGACCCAAACUCUAAAUUUUGUUUCUCCUUUACUUUGCUUGCUUCCCUCACUCACUUAUUUUCCAGUAUACUAUAUAUUUGUCAGCUUUAAAAAAUAACGCUAAAGAGUAACGUCCUCUGUUCCUGUUUGGCUUAAUAUGAUGGCUUCCUAAAACAAUGACGACACAUGAUUUCACUGUUUUUUUCCCUCAAUAACAAUGGAAAAGAAAGCUACCUAUAUCCUCUUGUUUAGUUUCCCUUGAGAAAAAUGAUCAAAGUGAGCUGGAGACUGCAUAACCAUGGAAGAGAUUUCCUGAACAUUGUUCACAGUUUUGGCAAAGUAAGUAUUAUUGCCACACAACUUCUGGUAAAAAUUUGUGAAAGAAUGAAAAUUAUAUGCGCUGUUGCCUGUUGACUCAGAUCAGUGGAAAGAAGAAAAUAAAUGUAGAUUUUCAUUCAUUUACUCAAUAAAUAUUUAGUGUGUAGUAAUAUGUGCUAUUUACUUGAGGACAGAAAUAUGCACUGAUGUAGGAAUGCAGCCUUCAAAGAUGUAAAACAGAAUUUGGUUGUAUAGGUUGUAAGUGGUGAUAGAUGGUGGUGGUAGGCACUGAUGAUCUGGUUUCAGCUGGGGAAGAAUGGUUUGUACAUAAAUAUCUGUUUAUAUAUCACCUGGGAAAUACAAAACAGUUUAAUUUCUUAACCUAGUUCGUCUAUUACCACAGCAUUACCUAAAUGUAACAUUGCUUAAUAAUUUUAUAUUUUAAUGUGCUUCAGGUAUUCUCAAAAGAUUUCAAGGCUAGACAUAUAGAAUACUGAGAUCAAACUCUAAUCUAAUGUAGGACAUUUCUCAACUCUUCUACUCUCUGGAAAAGUGUUACAUAUUCUGUGAGCAAUAUGCUCAUUGAUAAAAAGGACAUAAUUUGUUUAUGGGGUUGGGACACACACACAAACAUAUAUAUGAAUUCCGUGUAACAUAUAAUGCAAAAGUGUACAAAUGAACUGCUUGGCUGUGCACACUCCUGUACAUGCAGAUGUGAACCACUGUCAGACAGACUAUGUGGAAAAUGUUUUAUCCUAAUUCUAAAUAAUAGAUCACUGUGGGACAAUGUUAGCCAUAGAAAAAGGUGGUACAAAAUGUGAUGCAAAAUGAAGUACUCUAUCAAAUUUGCUUUAAUAAAUAGGCAGCCCAGAUGAUUCUUACAUCUUCAAUUUAAAAAAAAAAACAGAAAGAAGAAAAAAAAGUACAGAACACUGAAUUUGGUUGAUAUUUAUAGAAAAAAUAACUUCACCUAACAUUAUCACUAUAGCUAAAUAAUUGGCUUAUGGUACUAUUUUCCUUGGCUUGAGAUAAUUCUAAUGAAGAAUGAUUGUCCUUUCUGUAACUUCAUUUUCAGCAAUAAUUACUUAGAUAGCAUUAAUGACUCCUGGCUUUUCUUGUUUCAUUGUGCUUCUCUUUACUUAUUAAUAGCACUUGGUAAAUAUAUCUCAUCAACUGAGAAAUGUUUGCUGAUGUCACCAGCCUUGCAUUAGAUUUUAUAAAUCAUACUAGAAAUGCAAAGUGGAGAUUCUUUCCUGGAAUCCUACCCUAAUCUUAUCAGGUAGUCCACUAUCUGGCAAUGCAUGUGAAAAUAAAAUUACUAAUCACAGAUAGGGACCUAUACUGUUGCUAUCAGAACUUUCUUCUAAGAGUUUUUAAGAAAGUUAGGAGAAAAACAGUACCAUCAGUCAGAAACCUCUAUUUAUGGCCUAGCUCUUAGGGCUGCACACUUUGGAGUGCUUUUUCCCCCAACUGCAAGGUCCUCUCUGAAACAAAAACCUAGCAUGGCCAGUAGAGCCAUUUGGAGCCCAGAUCUCAGCACUUGGUACACAGGAUCUUGUGACUUUGGGCCACCAUAGCAUUCUUGAUAUAUUCCCUCUGGGUGACUCUCGCCAACUUUGGAAGUAGAAUGAGUUACAAGCUUAGAGCUGCUGCUAGUCCUUCUCUGAUCCGUGGGCUUGAGACAUGUUUGUGGGCCCCCAGGUCAGUUCUCACUUCUUUCUGCUCAGAAUCAUGCUUCUGCUUAUCUACAGUGUCAGUGGUGCAGGGCACAGAAUGUCUUUACCUGUGUGACCCUUUGCCCUAGUCCUCUGACAGGAUGUGUACUGUACUCCAAGCCCACCUUGGAUGUGGAGUUAGCAUGCCUGUCUCUUAUGAGGCUUCCAAACCAUUGCUUUGCAGUGCCAUGCAGGUCUUCUGAACAAAACCCUUGAUGCUUAUUAACAAUGUGCUACAUCACUUCCUGUGUUUGUCUUUAAUUGGCUCCUCUGGUCUAAGAAUGGACAUUGUCCUUGGAAGAAUGGACCCCUUCUCUUUCUCAGCUCACAAGAUCUUCACCAACCUCUCCAUUAGAAGGUGCAAGUGUGCUCAGUAUUGAUGUAUAACAUUCCAGAAAUACAAUGAUGACUAAAGAUGUCAAGAGAAGACAUGUUUGAAAAAUCUAUCAUUUUAUGUGUGAGCUAUAAAAUUCUGAAUGGUAAAAUUAACCUUAAAAAUGAAUUUGCAAUAUAUAUUCUGCAUACACAGUGUUUUGUGACUAUAUUAAUGAAAUAUAAGUAUAAGCUUUGAUGGAGUCAUUAGAAGCUUUGGAUGCUGAAAGGUCAUGAGAACACUUUGCAAAUAUACAAAUGGUAUUCGGGAGCUAAGGUUGCUGGAACUGUACGACUUCAAUACGAACACAUGUCAAUGUACCCUGGCACUGUGAUGUAACAAUGGUACUAUUACCUUUUCGUGUGAUGUGAGAUAUGAAGUCAUUUAGGAAAAUGUCCAUUAGACAAUAAAUAUUACGAGACAUGCUUUUUGAACCUGAA